rnacentral:tRNA from 1 species
GCCUGGGUGGCUUAGUCAGUUAAGCGUCUGACUUAGGCUCAGGUCAUGAUCUCAUGGGUUGUGAGUUUGAGCCCCGCGUCGGGCU